rnacentral:rRNA from 1 species
AACGAACGCUGGCGGCAUGCCUAACACAUGCAAGUCGAACGAUCCCUUCGGGGAUAGUGGCGCACGGGUGCGUAACGCGUGGGAACCUGCCCUUAGGUUCGGAAUAACUCAGAGAAAUUUGAGCUAAUACCGGAUAAUGUCUUCGGACCAAAGAUUUAUCGCCUUUGGAUGGGCCCGCGUUGGAUUAGCUAGUUGGUGGGGUAAAGGCCUACCAAGGCGACGAUCCAUAGCUGGUCUGAGAGGAUGAUCAGCCACACUGGGACUGAGACACGGCCCAGACUCCUACGGGAGGCAGCAGUGGGGAAUAUUGGACAAUGGGCGAAAGCCUGAUCCAGCAAUGCCGCGUGAGUGAUGAAGGCCUUAGGGUUGUAAAGCUCUUUUACCCGGGAUGAUAAUGACAGUGCCGGGAGAAUAAGCCCCGGCUAACUCCGUG